AAAAGAACUUUGGAAGAAGAGUUCGAGAGUACGUGAAACCGUUCAGGGGUGAACCUGAGAAAUCCAAAAGGUCGAAUGGGGAGAUUCACCGUCAGCGUAAUGGCUCGCGUGCGGAUGGCGAUGCAUAUCGAGCUUCGGCUCGGAGGCACGCGUUCGUUGCGCGUGACAGAUGUCGUUGAUGUGCACUUCUCCCCUAGUAGAAAGUCGCGACCCGUUGGGGGUCGGCCUACGGUACGAACAAGGUAGACUGUCGCGACGCGUUUACGCGCGCACGCGGUAGUCCGUCGUUUGCCCGGCCGGCUGCCCGGCGGUAGGCGCAAUGAAAGUGAAGGUCGACCCCAGCGUCGACCGAUGGAGGAUGGCUCGCGUCACGAUGCGAGUCCGCACUCCCGGUGCGUCUCGUGCUCAUUGCGAGCAGAGGCGCACCCAGAGCGUACACGUUGGGACCCGAAAGAUGGUGAACUAUGCCUGGUCAGGACGAAGUCAGGGGAAACCCUGAUGGAGGUCCGUAGCGAUUCUGACGUGCAAAUCGAUCGUCGGAACUGGGUAUAGGGGCGAAAGACUAAUCGAACCAUCUAGUAGCUGGUUCCCUCCGAAGUUUCCCUCAGGAUAGCUGGCACUCGCUUGAGCGAGUCUCAUCUGGUAAAGCGAAUGAUUAUAGGCCUUGGGGCCGAAACGACCUCAACCUAUUCUCGGACUUUAGAUGGGUGAGAUCUCUGGCUUGCUUGAACGUUGAAGCCGCGAUAUUAAUUUUGGCAAUGGAUCAAAGUGCCAGCUGGGCCAAGUCUGGUAAGCAAAGCUGGGUGUGUGGGA
rnacentral:rRNA from 1 species